rnacentral:rRNA from 1 species
ACACUCCUGCGGGAGGCAGCAGUGGGGAAUUUUGGACAAUAGGCGAAAGCCUGAUCCAGCAAUGCCGCGUGAGUGAAGAAGGCCUUCGGGUUGUAAAGCUCUUUUGUCAGGGAAGAAACGGUGAAAGCUAAUAUCUUUUGCUAAUGACGGUACCUGAAGAAUAAGCACCGGCUAACUACGUGCCAGCAGCCGCGGUAAUACGUAGGGUGCAAGCGUUAAUCGGAAUUACUGGGCGUGAAGCGUGCGCAGGCGGUUUUGUAAGUCUGAUGUGAAAUCCCCGGGCUCAACCUGGGAAUUGCAUUGGAGACUGCAAGGCUAGAAUCUGGCAGAGGGGGGUAGAAUUCCACGUGUAGCAGUGAAAUGCGUAGAUAUGUGGAGGAACACCGAUGGCGAAGGCAGCCCCCUGGGUCAAGAUUGACGCUCAUGCACGAAAGCGUGGGGAGCAAACAGGAUUAGAUACCCGGGUAGUCCCAUGA